AUGGCUGUCGUCAGCUCGUGUCGUGAGAUGUUGGGUUAAGUCCUAUAACGAGCGCAACCCUUACCCUUAUUUGCCAGCGGUUCGGCCGGGAACUAUAAGGGAACUGCCGGUAAUAAGCCGGAGGAAGGUGGGGACGACGUCAAGUCAUCAUGGCCCUUACAUGUAGGGCUACACACGUGCUACAAUGGGAGAUACAAACGGUCGCUAAAGCGCGAGCUGGAGCUAAUCCGAUAAAGUCUUUCGUAGUCCGAAUUGCAGUCUGGAACUCGACUGCAUGAAGCCGGAAUCGCUAGUAAUCGCGGAUCAGCAUGCCGCGGUGAAUACGUUCUCGGGUCUUGUACACACCGCCCGUCACACCAUGGGAGUGCAUUGCACCAGAAGUAGAUAGCUUAACCUUAGGGAUGGCGUUUACCACGGUGUGGUCCAUGACUGGGGUGAAGUCGUAACAAGGUAGCACUAGGGGAACCUGGGGCUGGAUCACCUCCUUACGGACGGCAUUCAUACGAGUGACUAAAUCUUUUCAAUUAACGAAGGAUCUAUUAAAGAACAAUUUGCGAAACUGCAAUAAUAUAUUUCAAAGAACAAAGAGUUAACUUUGAGGUUACUUAUUCAAGUAAUUAAGUGCUAAAGGCGGAUGCCUUGGCAUCUAGAGGCGAUGAAGGACGUUGUAACUUGCGAUAAGCCCCGGCGAGCCAGUACACAGGCUAUGACCCGAGGAUUUCCGAAUGGGGAAACCCGG
rnacentral:sRNA from 1 species